rnacentral:rRNA from 1 species
CAGCAGCCGCGGGAAUACGUAGGGCGCAAGCGUUGUCCGGAAUUAUUGGGCGUAAAGAGCUCGUAGGCGGUCUGUCGCGUCUGGUGUGAAAUCCCGAGGCUCAACCUCGGGCUUGCAUCGGGUACGGGCAGACUAGAGUGCGGUAGGGGAGACUGGAAUUCCUGGUGUAGCGGUGGAAUGCGCAGAUAUCAGGAGGAACACCGAUGGCGAAGGCAGGUCUCUGGGCCGCAACUGACGCUGAGGAGCGAAAGCAUGGGGAGCGAACAGGAUUAGAUACCCCAGUAGUCCCUGUCUUUAUACA